CUCUCUCUCUAGGAUUUUUCUCUCUCUACAAAGAAUUCGACGAUUUCGCUCGUUUUCGUCGCCUCGCUCGAUCUUCGCUGGUUGCGGGUGUCACAGAGCUCACGUGGACGUGUGAGAGAGUAUUUUGGAGAGCUUUUCGCAGCUCUGAACCAGUGAGGUGCUGGUUGGAAGCUUGAGAAGGUAAACGACUUGAUUUUCUCUAUUAUCAACGUUCUAUUAGUCGAUUAUGUGUUGCUUUUGAAGUUUUUGCUUCCAACUGACUUAAACUGAGA
rnacentral:lncRNA from 1 species